CAGGCUCAAUAGUUGUGGUGCACGGGCUGAGUUGCUCCGCGGCAUGUGGGAUCUUCCCGGACCAGGGCUCGAACCCGUGUCCCUUGCAUUGGCAGGCGGAUUCUCAGCCACUGCGCCACCAGGGAAGCCCUCAUCUUCUUUCUGUAAUCUCAUCCUCAACCUUAAAAUCCCACUGUCCUCACCUCUCUGCUUCCAAAGCUCAGGGCUUAGCUUCCUGCUCUUCUCUAUCCACUAAAGAAAGGCUUAUUUUCCCUUGAAUCAUUUUUUUCUUUUUUUAUUGAAGGAUAGUUGGUUUACAAUACUGUGUUAGGUUCAGGUGUACAGCAAAGUGAUUUGGUUACACAUAUAUAUUAAAAAAAAUUCUUUUCCAUUAUAGUUUAUUACAAGAUAGUGAAUACUGUUCCCUGGGCUGUAUGAUCAUUUUUUAAAGAUAUGACAAAAAAGCCAAGUUUUUACCAAUUAUUUCAGACAACUCAAAACUGUUGAAAGGGAAAAGUGGGCGUCACCCCCGAUGCCCUCUCCAAGAUUCUUUUCCCUUAUAGUUUAUUACUGAAUAUUGAGUAUAGUUCCUGGUCUUCUUAUUCACACCUCGCGUUGUUAUUUCGAUGGUUUGGUUUUCCACAGUCUCUCUGUCCAUGGUCAUUCUGAGGGCGCUGGCUGGUGGUGGAAGAUGGUAUUCUUUCCAGACCCUUUGGUGGCCUCAGAGUUAACUUAGAGCUUCUGACUGGGCACAUGGCAGUGCGUUUAGACACAGUCCUCUUGCUGUGAUGUGUUCCAGGAGCGGCGCCCCUACAUCCGGACCUACAAUUCAAACUCCAGCUCCUGCUUCCAGUCUCCUCCAGUCCCCACUCCUCUGGGUGAGCUGAAACCCCCCUGAGGGCUCUCUCCCCUCCUGUGGACACCAGACUGUGACCUUCUUGGAAGACGGUGGUGCAGUGCCAAGUUCAAGUCCUGGGUUCAAAUCCUGGCUCUGCUAUUGACUAGCUGGGUCUCCAAGAUAAAAACAUGGCAGGGACUGUGAUGGUUCUAAUGAGGCGGUCGCUAGGAGACUGUUCUGCCAGUUCCUUCCCACCUUCCCCACCCCUCAAAUAAUAGCAACUAGCAAGAAACUACAGGAAUCUAACAGACCCUUAAUCCACUAACCCCUUCUGCAGACAAUGCAAAGGAACAGGCUGUGCAGCAUCGUGGGUAGGACCUCUGGCUCCAGAGAGGGGCUGCCUGCAUCCAGUUCCAGCCCCCCCACCCCCUACAAGCUGUUCUUCCUUAGCCUCAGUUUUCCCCUUGCCUUGUAGAUAGGGUUGUGUUAUUAAAUGAGGGACCAUACGUGAAGUGUUUGGCACGGUGCCUGGCACGUUGUAAGUGCUCAAUAAACGUUAGCCAUUGCUAUUUU